rnacentral:rRNA from 1 species
UACAGAGGGGGCAAGCGUUGUUCGGAAUUACUGGGCGUAAAGGGCGCGUAGGCGGCCUGUUAGGUCGAACGUGAAAUCCCCGGGCUCAACCCGGGAACUGCGUCCGAUACUGGCAGGCUUGAAUCCGGGAGAGGGAUGCGGAAUUCCAGGUGUAGCGGUGAAAUGCGUAGAUAUCUGGAGGAACACCGGUGGCGAAGGCGGCGAUCCUGGACCGGCAUUGACGCUGAG